UAGGGAAUCUUCGGCAAUGGACGGAAGUCUGACCGAGCAACGCCGCGUGAGUGAAGAAGGUUUUCGGAUCGUAAAGCUCUGUUGUUAGAGAAGAACGUUGGUAGGAGUGGAAAAUCUACCAAGUGACGGUAACUAACCAGAAAGGGACGGCUAACUACGUGCCAGCAGCCGCGGUAAUACGUAGGUCCCGAGCGUUGUCCGGAUUUAUUGGGCGUCAAGCGAGCGCAGGCGGUUCUUUAAGUCUGAAGUUAAAGGCAGUGGCUUAACCAUUGUACGCUUUGGAAACUGGAGGAGUUGAGUGCAGAAGGGGAGAGUGGAAUUCCAUGUGUAGCGGUGAAAUGCGUAGAUAUAUGGAGGAACACCGGUGGCGAAAGCGGCUCUCUAGUCUGUAACUGACGCUGAGGCUCGAAAGCGUGGGGAGCAAACAGG
rnacentral:rRNA from 1 species